rnacentral:rRNA from 1 species
AUUGAACGCUGGCGGCAGGCCUAACACAUGCAAGUCGAGCGAGCGGCGGACGGGUGCGUAAUGUAUGGGGAACUGCCUGAUGGCGGGGGAUAACUACUGGAAACGGUAGCUAAUACCGCAUACCAUCAGAUGAACCCAUAUGGGAUUAGCUUGUAGGUGAGGUAACGGCUCACCUAGGCGACGAUCCCUAGCUGGGCUGAGAGGAUGAACAGCCACACGGGGACUGAGACACGGUCCAGACUCCUACGGGAGGCAGCAGUGGGGAAUAUUGCACAAUGGGCGCAAGCCUGAUGCAGCCAUGCCGCGUGUGUGAAGAAGGCCUUCGGGUUGUAAAGUACUUUCAGUCGGGAGGCGUUACCGACAGAAGAAGCACCGGCUAACUCCGUGCCAGCCGCCGCGGUAAUAC